rnacentral:piRNA from 1 species
UCCACCUGCAAAGGAGUGCUGAGUGUGUC